CAUCAUGAAGCUUAAAGCGUUAACCUUUUAAGUUAGAGUCAGAGAUAUUAAAUCUCCAUGAUGA
rnacentral:tRNA from 1 species